GACCUGGUGGUGGAGGGUAUCACACCUGCACUCAGUAAAUAGGCCAUAUUCAUCUGUCUGCAGAAGCUCCUGGUUCGACUCCAGGCUAGGUCA